rnacentral:lncRNA from 1 species
UUUUGCUUUUCAUCACCUGCAAGAUUUACAUAAAAAUCACAUAAGCUGGAAUUCAACAAAAGACCUCUGACUAUGUGAAGAUACGGUGGGAAGAUGACUGUCCACAAGACAGGAAGAGAGCCCUCACCGAGGAACCAAAUUGGCCAGUAUCUUGAUCUUGGAUUUCUCAGCCUCAAGAACCAUGAGAAAUGAAUGUCUGUUGUUCAAGCCACCCAGUCUAUGAAAAAGUUUGGAAACCUUCAUCUAGAAAGUGGUCUAGCAAAGUGUGGUCCAUGGAUGAGUUUGAUCUGCAAACUGCUUGUUAUUGGUUCAUGACAAGGUCCACCAAUUGCAUUUUGAGAGCUCAGAUAAGCAGAGAGCAAUGCAAUUUGUCACGGAAGGAUGAUUAUGUAUAUGCACUGUCAUGUGUAUGUAUGUGUAUGUAUAUACGCUAUUUCCACGCCUAACUCAAAAGAGACACAGGGAGAAAGUGAGCUCAGCCUGGAUAAAUUGGAAGUUGUGAUGACUUCUAGGAAGCCUCAGGAAAAAGAAACAAAGACAACACUGGCCUGCUGCUCUCUGCAAUGGUGGGACUCUUGUGGGACAACUGUUUUAGGAAUGAAGGUGUCUACCCUCUCUAGAAAUGAAAAUGCAAGUUUGGCUGUGGUUAAGUAUUGGAUGGAGGCAAAAAGAAACUGACAUAUUUGCUUCUUUUCAAUUGUUUGAUUCACCCUGAAGGGCAUGGCUGCCUAAUUUUUUUCUCCAGAGAUAGGUGGACAGAUAAAGACAGGAAAGUAACAUCCACAGACUGCCCUCUGUGAAGGUGACAGUGAUGAGAGGAAUGCUUGAUCUGAACAUUGGUAAAUAAAGUGACCGCGUAUUUCCCUAGCCAGGAGAGCAAUCUGGCUCAAAAGAAACGAGAACAAUGACAUUACUGCCAGGCUGCUCCUAAGCCUUUGGCUAUUCUGUUCAGUGCACAUAAAAAGCAGUGAACAUAGCUGUGACCUCCCUUGUUGGCAGUAUCACAAUUCUUUGGGGCUCCACUUUGAGAAAUUGAGACCUACCUACCUUAACCCUUGGGGGGUUAAGCUUUCAGACUGGAAUGAUAACUGAACUAUUCAUUUGCAGUAAUUCUGGGUUUUGUGCAUAUCUUAAAAAGGAAUACCGGGCUUGCCUAUAUUCAUUACAACAUCCUCCCAGCUUUCAAAUCUUCCAAUACAAUGCCUUUUCUCUAGUCUUUUAAGCACAUCCUGUGACUGGAUAUGAUUAUGGGAGAUUUACAUGCAUCCUUGUCUAUUGUAUCAAAAGAUCAGGGAAUAAAAUGCCCAUCAUUAAAACCCCAAAGUGAUUGGAUUGGCAUGAGGAAUGGG